AGCAGCCGCGGUAAUUCCAGCUCCAAUAGCGUAUAUUAAAGUUGUUGCAGUUAAAAAGCUCGUAGUUGAAUUUCGGGAUUGACACAUCGGUCGUGCCUUAAGGGGUAUGAACUGGUGUAGUCAAUUUCUCACCUUCUGGAGAACCGCGAUGCCCUUAAUUGGGUGUCGCGGGGAACCAGGACCUUUACUUUGAAAAAAUUAGAGUGUUUAAAGCAGGCAUUUUGCUUGAAUACAUUAGCAUGGAAUAAUAAAAUAGGACGGCAUGAUUCUAUUUUGUUGGUUUCUAGGAUCACUGUAAUGAUUAAUAGGGAUAGUUGGGGGCAUUAGUAUUCAAUUGUCAGAGGUGAAAUUCUUGGAUUUAUUGAAGACUAACUACUGCGAAAGCAUUUGCCAAGGAUGUUUUCAUUAAUCAAGAACGAAAGUUAGGGGAUCGAAGACGAUCAGAUACCGUCGUAGUCUUAACCAUAAACUAUGCCGACUAGGAAUCAGACGAUGUUAAUUUUUUAAUGACUCGUUUGGC
rnacentral:misc_RNA from 1 species